rnacentral:pre_miRNA from 1 species
UAUGUACUCCCUCCGUUCCAAAAUAGAUGACUCAACUUUGUACAAAAGUUAGUACAAAGUUGAGUCAUCUAUUUUGGAACGGAGGGAGUAUGUC